CCUACGGGAGGCAGCAGUGAGGAAUAUUGGUCAAUGGUCGGGAGACUGAACCAGCCAAGCCGCGUGAGGGAGGAAGGUACAGAGUAUCGUAAACCUCUUUUGUCAGGGAACAAAGGCGGGGACGUGUCCCGGGAUGAGGGUACCGGAAGAAAAAGCAUCGGCUAACUCCGUGCCAGGAGCCGCGGUAAUAGGGGGGAUGCGAGCGUUAUCGGGAUUUAUGGGGUUAAAAGGGUGCGCAGGCGGUCUGUUAAGUGAGCGGUCAAAGCCCGGGGCUCAACCCCGGCCCGCCGUUGAAACUGGCAGUCUCGAGUUGGAGAGAAGUAUGCGGAAUGCGCGGUGUAGCGGUGAAAUGCAUAGAUAUCGCGCAGAACUCCGAUUGCGAAGGCAGCAUGCCGGCUCCACACUGACGCUGAGGCACGAAAGCGUGGGUAUCGAACAGGAUUAGAUACCCCAGUAGUC
rnacentral:rRNA from 1 species